GUCGGGGUCGCCUAGCUUGGUAGGGCGCAGGCCUGGAAAGCCUGUGACCGUAAUGGUCUCGUGGGUUCAAAUCCCACCCCCGGCGCCA
rnacentral:tRNA from 1 species